CCUACGGGAGGCAGCAGUGAGGAAUAUUGGUCAAUGGACGCAAGUCUGAACCAGCCAUGCCGCGUGCAGGAAGACGGCUCUAUGAGUUGUAAACUGCUUUUGUACGAGGGUAAACGCAGAUACGCGUAUCUGUCUGCAAGUAUCGUACGAAUAAGGAUCGGCUAACUCCGUGCCAGCAGCCGCGGUAAUACGGAGGGUUCAAGCGUUAUCCGGAUUUAUUGGGUUUAAGGGUUGCGUAGGCGGUCGGAUAAGUUAGAGGUGAAAGCCCGAGGCUCAACUUCGGAAUUGCCGCUGAUACUGUUCGGCUAGAGAGUAGUAGCGGUAGGCGGAAGGUAUGGUGUAGCGGUGAAAUGCUUAGAGAUCAUACAGAACACCGAUUGCGAAGGCAGGUUACCAAGCUACUACUGACGUUGAGGCACGAAAGCGUGGGGAGCAAACAGGAUUAGAUACCCCAGUAGUC
rnacentral:rRNA from 1 species